GUAAAAUUAAAGAUUAAACUUAAUAACAAAGCAAAAUUAAUUAAGUGCAAACAUUUUUCGUGAAUUACAGUACACAAAUGGCACCUAAGACUCUCAACCACACACACUCACAUCUGUGAAAAAACACGUCAUGUAAAGUUAAAAUGACGAAUAGAAAACUAUGAGAAUAACCUCAGCAAUUUGAAGAACGCACAGCGCCGCAGUUGAAAAAUUUAAUUUUUUUUGUUUUCGAUGUCACGCAGGAUAUCACAAGCUCUGCUAGAUUGUGUACGACAGUCACGCAAUGUGUAACAGCGACCCUAGACGCCGGCAAGCAUAUUGAUGAGAUAUGUUUGAGAUAUGUUUUUGCGGUAACAUUUAGACAGACGCGUCUGACCCUGCAAAAGGAAUUCCACAUUGGCCUCAAGCCAAACAAGUUCAAACAACAGGACUUUGCGUUUGUGACUCACUGCUGCAUUCCUUGACAUUAUUGCAUACAUACCAAGGAACUCUGCUGAUGUGUGCCUUAAUGUGUUGCCCUAUUCGGACCAUUUGAAAUUCCACAAUAUGAUACAUACAACAAAUGUUGUAUGAUAAACAAGGGAAAAAGCUGCACAAAAAUUCCCAUAAAGUUGGUUGACUUAGACAUGU